rnacentral:rRNA from 1 species
AGAAUCAACGCUGGCGGCGUGCCUAACACAUGCAAGUCGAACGAGAAAGUGGAGCAAUCCAUGAGUAAAGUGGCGCACGGGUGAGUAACACGUGACUAACCUACCCUUGAGUGGGGGAUAACCUAGAGAAAUCUGGGCUAAUACCGCAUAAUACCUUCGGGUCAAAGGAGCAAUUCGCUUAAGGAGGGGGUCGCGGCCGAUUAGUUAGUUGGCGGGGUAGUGGCCCACCAAGACUAUGAUCGGUA